rnacentral:rRNA from 2 species
UGGGGUGAAGUCGUAACAAGGUAGCGCUAGGGGAACCUGGCGCUGGAUCACCUCCUUA